rnacentral:rRNA from 1 species
UACGAAGGGGGCUAGCGUUGCUCGGAAUCACUGGGCGUAAAGCGCACGUAGGCGGAUUGCUAAGUCAGGGGUGAAAUCCCAGAGCUUAACUUUGGAAGUGCAUCCGAAACUGCUGAACUAGAGUCUCGGAGAGGGUGGUAGAAUUCCCAGUGUAGAGGUGAAAUUCGUAGAUAUGGGGAGGAACACCGGUGGCGAAGGCGACCAUCUGGACGGAUACUGACGCUGAGACGCGAAAGCGUGGGUAGCAAACAGG